UGGGAAGUGGCUCAGCAGGUAGAGUGCAGGCUCUGCACGCAUGGGGUCCCAGGUUUGAUUCCUGGCACCGCAU
rnacentral:tRNA from 1 species